rnacentral:rRNA from 1 species
GAUGAACGCUGGCGGCGUGCCUAAUACAUGCAGGUCGAGCGAACGGACGAGAAGCUUGCUUCUCUGAUGUUAGCGGCGGACGGGUGAGUAACACGUGGAUAACCUACCUAUAAGACUGGGAUAACUUCGGGAAACCGGAGCUAAUACCGGAUAAUAUUUUGAACCGCAUGGUUCAAAAGUGAAAGACGGUCUUGCUGUCACUUAUAGAUGGAUCCGCGCUGCAUUAGCUAGUUGGUAAGGUAACGGCUUACCAAGGCAACGAUGCAUAGCCGACCUGAGAGGGUGAUCGGCCACACUGGAACUGAGACACGGUCCAGACUCCUACGGGAGGCAGCAGUAGGGAAUCUUCCGCAAUGGGCGAAAGCCUGACGGAGCAACGCCGCGUGAGUGAUGAAGGUCUUCGGAUCGUAAAACUCUGUUAUUAGGGAAGAACAUAUGUGUAAGUAACUGUGCACAUCUUGACGGUACCUAAUCAGAAAGACACGGCUAACUACGUG